rnacentral:rRNA from 1 species
UACGUAGGGGGCGAGCGUUGUCCGGAAUCAUUGGGCGUAAAGCGCGUGUAGGCGGUUCGGUAAGUCUGCUGUGAAAGUCCAGGGCUCAACCCUGGGAUGCCGGUGGAUACUGCCGAACUAGAGUGCGGAAGAGGCGAGUGGAAUUCCCGGUGUAGCGGUGAAAUGCGCAGAUAUCGGGAGGAACACCAAUUGCGAAGGCAGCUCGCUGGGACGUUACUGACGCUGAGCGCGAAGAGCGUGGGGAGCAAACGG